AAGCAUGAUUGUGGCAUUGUUUUUAUACAACAGUUCAAUCAAAAAGAAACUACAUUUUAGACACAAUAGUUUUGAUCAGGCAAUGAAAAUAGUUCCAAACAAACACAAAUACAAAAUGAAAAUAACGACAAAAUAAUGGACCGCAUGUAAAUAACAUACAAAAAAAUCCCAUGCCUACUCAGUAGGUAACUACAGCAUUCCAACUCCUCAAGAUGUAGAUAUGUACAUUUCCGUUACAAAAAUAUAGUUUAUAGUUUUCUUUUUUGCUUACAUCCCAAAGAAAUGCAGUGCCCUCAAAUCCUGUCCCUUCUUUCCUUGAAAUGACUUUCUGAAUAUAGAAAAAAGAAACGAGAAAACAAAAUCCCUUACACCUUAAGGCUAGAUGCAAUGCAUCCACACGCUGAUAUCUGUCAAAACAUCUGCAAGGCUUCACAAAAGGCACCAAAAAAAAUUGAAGAUUUGUGGUUGAUUCUUUUCUGAUGUUUUCCCCCUCCAUUUAACAGGUUCUUGUUGUCACAUUUGAGAAAGACAAAGAUAGUACCAGUGGAUGAUAUUUACAAAAUAAGAGAAACUAACAUCACUCUUCCACAUGCGUCAGAAUACUUAAGUGCUUUUAGUCAAACAAGGUCAAGAACUUAUCACAGCAUUUUUACUACUCAAUACAGAAUGUAUCUUAUAAAAUAUGGCCCUGCUCAAGAAUAAUACAAUGCAAAUAUUUAAAUCAAUUGUCACAACAAUGGUACUAAAAAGUAAAAACAAAAAGGAAACAUGGCACAUGUACAAUAUACUGUAGCUUAUGUAUAUUAUUCAAACGUCUUUUGUAACUGUACACCUGUCGAACCUGAAGCCCACAGGCUUCGUUAACGUCCUUUAGUCGUUCUGUGUCGCAAGUACGUCUGUGCACGCACAGUCUGAGGGAAAACUUGCUGAAGCCUGUCGCUUUUGUUUGUAACUUUGAAAGGAUCGUUUGAAAGGAUAGGAUUCGAAGGGAGAGAACAACACAAAAAUCCCUUUUGUUUUCAAAAGUCUUUGCCGAGUCCAUGACUGUUUUGUAACCGAGCCAUGUGGGGAGCAUGGACAGAAAAGUGCUUUUUGCAGAGGGGACUUAAAAGUCACUGAUGCUUUCUGUUCCUUUGAGUCAAGCCUGGAGGUC
rnacentral:lncRNA from 1 species